AACGAACGCUGGCGGCAGGCUUAACACAUGCAAGUCGAACGCAUCCUUCGGGGUGAGUGGCAGACGGGUGAGUAACGCGUGGGAACGUGCCCUCCAGUUCGGGAUAACCCAGGGAAACUUGGGCUAAUACCGGAUACGUGCGAGAGCAGAAAGAUUUAUCGCUGAAGGAUCGGCCCGCGUCUGAUUAGCUAGUUGGUGGGGUAAUGGCCCACCAAGGCGACGAUCAGUAGCUAGUCUGAGAGGAUGAUCAGCCACAUUGGGACUGAGACACGGCCCAAACUCCUACGGGAGGCAGCAGUGGGGAAUAUUGGACAAUGGGCGCAAGCCUGAUCCAGCCAUGCCGCGUGAGUGAUGAAGGCCUUAGGGUUGUAAAGCUCUUUCGUCCGGGACGAUAAUGACGGUACCGGAAGAAGAAGCCCCGGCUAACUUCGUGCCAGCCGCCGCCGUAAUAC
rnacentral:rRNA from 1 species